rnacentral:miRNA from 1 species
AAAGUUGGGCCCCUGUUGGUGCGG